UGGCGGUUAUUUUUUCCUGUCAGAGGAAUGUGUAGAUAAACGAAAAUGCACGAAAAUCUCACCUAAUCUUGAUGAUUUGUUUGUUUGUGCUUUAAAUUUGCAAAAACAAUUAUAUUCUUCUUUUUGUACACCGCCGUCGGAAGGUUCUUUUUAAUAAAAGAUCCUUGUUCCUUUAAAUAAAAGUCAUAACAAUUUAUUUUUGGGUAAUAACUUUGUUUAAAUAUAAAUAUAAGAUUGUUUAUAGGGGUAUAAGUCAGGUCAAGGUGCAGAGAAUGGUUAGAGUAACUAUGCAUUUUUUUAAAAGCUGAAAUAAAACCUUUGGAAAAAGGUUUUAUUCAAAAUUUGAUAGUAAGAAUUUUACAUUUUAAAAUUCUGAAAAAGGUAAAGAUUAAUGUACACAUCGCCCG
rnacentral:rRNA from 1 species